rnacentral:rRNA from 1 species
UUAUAUUCUGUAGCAAGGUUAACCGAAUAGGGGAGCCGGAGGGAAACCGAGUCUUAACCGGGCGUUAAGUUGCAGGGUAUAGACCCGAAACCCGGUGAUCUAGCCAUGGGCAGGUUGAAGGUUGGGUAACACUAACUGGAGGACCGAACCGACUAAUGUUGAAAAAUUAGCGGAUGACCUGUGGCUGGGGGUGAAAGGCCAAUCAAACCGGGAGAUAGCUGGUUCUCCCCGAAAGCUAUUUAGGUAGCGCCUCGUGAAUUCAUCUCCGGGGGUAGAGCACUGUUUCGGCUAGGGGGCCAUCCCGGCUUACCAACCCGAUGCAAACUGCGAAUACCGGAGAAUGUUAUCACGGGAGACACACGGCGGGUGCUAACGUCCGUCGUGAAGAGGGAAACAACCCAGACCGCCAGCUAAGGUCCCAAAGUCAUGGUUAAGUGGGAAACGAUGUGGGAAGGCCCAGACAGCCAGGAUGUUGGCUUAGAAGCAGCCAUCAUUUAAAGAAAGCGUAAUAGCUCACUGGUCGAGUCGGCCUGCGCGGAAGAUGUAACGGGGCUAAACCAUGCACCGAAGCUGCGGCAGCGACACUGUGU